rnacentral:siRNA from 1 species
CUGAGAUUCAGCCCUUUGUCGCU